AUGCCUUAAACUAAUGAGUAAGGAAAAUAACAAGUUAGGGUGAUGCCUAACUUCACUAUUAUGACCAAUUUUUGGGGGGUAUAGGUUACUCCUUGGAGGAUCCACCUACUUUGUGGGAUCUCUAGGUGCUGUGAUCUGCCCU